AUUGAACGCUGGCGGCAUGCCUUACACAUGCAAGUCGAACGGCAGCACGGGAGCAAUCCUGGUGGCGAGUGGCGAACGGGUGAGUAAUAUAUCGGAACGUGCCCAGUCGUGGGGGAUAACGCAGCGAAAGCUGUGCUAAUACCGCAUACGAUCUAUGGAUGAAAGCGGGGGAUCGCAAGACCUCGCGCGAUUGGAGCGGCCGAUAUCAGAUUAGCUAGUUGGUGAGGUAAAGGCUCACCAAGGCGACGAUCUGUAGCAGGGCUGAGAGGACGGCCAGCCACACUGGAACUGAGACACGGUCCAGACGCCUACGGGAGGCAGCAGUGGGGAAUUUUGGACAAUGGGCGAAAGCCUGAUCCAGCAAUGCCGCGUGCAGGAUGAAGGCCUUCGGGUUGUAAACUGCUUUUGUACGGAACGAAACGGUGAGCUCUAAUACAGUUUGCUAAUGACGGUACCGUAAGAAUAAGCACCGGCUAACUACGUGCCAGCAGCCGCAGUAACAC
rnacentral:rRNA from 1 species